rnacentral:rRNA from 1 species
GACGGGGGGGGCAAGUGUUCUUCGGAAUGACUGGGCGUAAAGGGCCCGUAGGCGGUGAAUCGGGUUGAAGGUGAAAGUCGCCAAAAAGUGGCGGAAUGCUCUCGAAACCAAUUCACUUGAGUGAGACAGAGGAGAGUGGAAUUUCGUGUGUAGGGGUGAAAUCCGUAGAUCUACGAAGGAACGCCAAAAGCGAAGGCAGCUCUCUGGGUCCCUACCGACGCUGGGGUGCGAAAGCAUGGGGAGCGAACAGG